rnacentral:rRNA from 1 species
UGGGGAAUAUUGGGCAAUGGGCGAAAGCCUGACCCAGCAACGCCGCGUGAAGGAAGAAGGCCUUCGGGUUGUAAACUUCUUUUACCAGGGACGAAGGACGUGACGGUACCUGGAGAAAAAGCAACGGCUAACUACGUGCCAGCAGCCGCGGUAAUACGUAGGUUGCAAGCGUUGUCCGGAUUUACUGGGUGUAAAGGGCGUGUAGGCGGAGCUGCAAGUCAGAUGUGAAAUCCCGGGGCUCAACCCCGGAACUGCAUUUGAAACUGUAGCCCUUGAGUAUCGGAGAGGCAAGCGGAAUUCCUAGUGUAGCGGUGAAAUGCGUAGAUAUUAGGAGGAACACCAGUGGCGAAGGCGGCUUGCUGGACGACAACUGACGCUGAGGCGCGAAAGCGUGGGGAGCAAAAGGAUUAGAUACCCUGGUA